ACAGCAGCAGCCGCGGUAAUACGUAGGUGGCAAGCGUUGUCCGGUAUUAUUGGGCGUAAAGGGCUCGCAGGCGGUUUCUUAAGUCUGAUGUGAAAGCCCCCGGCUCAACCGGGGAGGGUCAUUGGAAACUGGGAAACUUGAGUGCAGAAGAGGAGAGUGGAAUUCCACGUGUAGCGGUGAAAUGCGUAGAGAUGUGGAGGAACACAGUGGCGAAGGCGACUCUCUGGUCUGUAACUGACGCUGAGGAGCGAAAGCGUGGGGAGCAAAUGGGAUUAGAUACCCCGGUAGUCCCUGUCUCUUAUACA
rnacentral:rRNA from 1 species